UACAGAGGGUGCGAGCGUUAAUCGGAAUUACUGGGCGUAAAGCGUGCGUAGGCGGUUCGUUAAGUCUGCUGUGAAAGCCCCGGGCUCAACCUGGGAAUGGCAGUGGAUACUGGCGAGCUAGAGUGUGAUAGAGGAUGGUGGAAUUCCCGGUGUAGCGGUGAAAUGCGUAGAGAUCGGGAGGAACAUCAGUGGCGAAGGCGGCCAUCUGGAUCAACACUGACGCUGAGGCACGAAAGCGUGGGGAGCAAACAGGG
rnacentral:rRNA from 1 species